rnacentral:rRNA from 1 species
CAGCCGCCGCGGUAAUACCGGCGGCCCGAGUGGCGGUCACUAUUAUUGGGCUUAAAACGUCCGUAGCCGGGUUGGGAAGUCCUCCGGGAAAUCUGGCCGCUUAACGGUCAGAAUGCCGGAGGAUACUCCCAGCCUAGGGAGCGGGAGAGGCCGAGGGUAUUCCCGGAGUAGGGGUGAAAUCCUAUAAUCCCGGGAGGACCACCUGUGGCGAAGGCGCUCGGCUGGAACGCGUCCGACGGGGAGGGACGAAGGCCAGGGGAGCAAACCGGAUUAGAUACCCGGGUAGUCCUGGCGGUAAAGGAUGCGGGCUAGGUGUCGGGUGAGCUUCGAGCUCGCCCGGUGCCGUAGGGAAGCCGUUAAGCCCGCCGCCUGGGGAGUACGGCCGCAAGGCUGAAACUUAAAGGAAUUGGCGGG